AUACGGAGGACGCGAGCGUUAUCUGGAUUCAUUGGGUUUAAAGGGUGCGCAGGCGGCCGUGCAAGUCAGCGGUGAAAGCCCGGGGCUCAACCCCGGAAGUGCCGUUGAUACUGCAUGGCUGGAAUGCGGUCGAGGCGGGCGGAACGUGGCGUGUAGCGGGGAAAUGCGUAGAUAUGCCACAGAACGCCGAUAGCGGAGGCAGCUCGCCAGGCCUGCAUUGACGCUCGGGCACGAAAGCGUGGGGAUCGAACAGGAUUAGAUACCCUGGUAGUCCGCACAGUAAACGAUGGAUACUCGCUGUCGGCGAUAUACGGUCGGUGGCCAAGCGAAAGCGUUAAGUAUCCCACCUGGGGAGUACGCCGGCAACGGUGAAACUUAAAGGAAUUGGCGGGG
rnacentral:rRNA from 1 species